rnacentral:rRNA from 1 species
UACUCGAGUGGCGAACGGGUGAGUAACACGUGGGUGAUCUGCCCUGCACUUCGGGAUAAGCUUGGGAAACUGGGUCUAAUACCGGAUAGGAACCAUCUUUAGUGUGGUGGUUGGAAAGUUUUUCGGUGUAAGAUGAGCUCGCGGCCUAUCAGCUUGUUGGUGGGGUAAUGGCCUACCAAGGCGGCGACGGGUAGCCGGCCUGAGAGGGUGUACGGCCACAUUGGGACUGAGAUACGGCCCAG